rnacentral:rRNA from 1 species
AUUACCUGGGGCCGUAAAGCGCCAUGCCAGGUGGUUUGUUAAGUCCAGAUGUGAAAGCCCGGGGCUCAACCUCCGGAGUUGCAUUUGAAACUGGCAGGCUAGAGUACUGUAGACGGGGGGUAGAAUUUCCAGGUGUAGCGGUGAAAUGCGUAGAGAUCUGAAGGAAUACCGGUGGCGAAGGCGGCCCCCUGGACAGAUACUGACACUCAGAUGCGAAAGCGUGGGGAGCAAACAGGAUUAGAUACCCUGGUAGUCCACGCUGUAAACGAUGUCUACUUGGAGGUUGUGGCCUUGAGCCGUGGCUUUCGGAGCUAACGCGUUAAGUAGACCGCCUGGGGAGUACGGUCGCAAGAUUAAAACUCAAAUGAAUUGACGGGGGCCCGCACAAGCGGUGGAGCAUGUGGUUUAAUUCGAUGCAACGCGAAGAACCUUACCUACUCUUGACAUCCAGAGAAUCCUGCGGAGACGCGGGAGUGCCUUCGGGAACUCUGAGACAGGUGCUGCAUGGCUGUCGUCAGCUCGUGUUGUGAAAUGUUGGGUUAAGUCCCGCAACGAGCGCAACCCUUAUCCUUGUUUGCCAGCGAGUAAUGUCGGGAACUCCAGGGAGACUGCCGGUGAUAAACCGGAGGAAGGUGGGGACGACGUCAAGUCAUCAUGGCCCUUACGAGUAGGGCUACACACGUGCUACAAUGGCGCAUACAGAGGGCGGCGAGCUAGCGAUAGUGAGCGAAUCCCAAAAAGUGCGUCGUAGUCCGGAUUGGAGUCUGCAACUCGACUCCAUGAAGUCGGAAUCGCUAGUAAUCGUGGAUCAGAAUGCCACGGUGAAUACGUUCCCGGGCCUUGUACACACCGCCCGUCACACCAUGGGAGUGGGCUGCAAAAGAAGCAGGUAGUUUAACCUUCGGGAGGACGCCUUCCCACUUUGUGUUCAACCG